UGGGGAAUAUUGCACAAUGGGGGAAACCCUGAUGCAGCGACGCCGCGUGAGCGAAGAAGGUUUUCGAAUCGUAAAGCUCUGUCCUAUGAGAAGAUAAUGACGGUAUCAUAGGAGGAAGCCCCGGCUAAAUACGUGCCAGCAGCCGCGGUAAUACGUAUGGGGCGAGCGUUGUCCGGAAUUAGUGGGCGUAAAGGGUACGUAGGCGGUCUAUUAAGUCAGGUGUGAAAGCGUGAGGCUUAACCUCAUUAAGCACUUGAAACUGAUAGACUUGAGUGAAGGAGAGGAAAGUGGAAGUCCUAGUGUAGCGGUGAAAUGCGUAGAUAUUAGGAGGAAUACCGGUGGCGAAGGCGACUUUCUGGACUUUUACUGACGCUCAGGUACGAAAGCGUGGGGAGCAAACAGG
rnacentral:rRNA from 1 species